UGAGCAUGUACUAGUGCAAUGACAAUGAAACAAAGCCGAGGGUUGCCAGUUAAAGUCUACUCUGAGCAUUAACUUGCUUAUGCUGCUGCUGAAGUUUUAGAUAUGAAAAUGUGUUCUGAACUUAUCUGAAAUGAAAAUGUGGUGUGAGAGGAAAGGAAAGGAGGUCUCCUGCCAAGAGGCUAGGAGCAAAAACACUGACCGUGGGAACUUUCUGCAGAAACCAACACCGACCCAACAGACACCAUCUCCCCUUGCGGCUGCUGUUAGCUGGAUGUGUCAGCUUGAUGUCACAUUACUCUCUCCAUAGCCACAGCAGGAGUCCUUAGCAACCAGCUCCACACCUGAGGACGCCCUGAAACUGGAGUCUGUGUGGUUAACUCAACCAUCCGGCCCACUCAAGACUUCAGAAGCUGGACGUUGUAAGGAAAGUGGACACUUCUAGGUCAGUUGGGAGGCCGACUGUUGCUGUGGCAUUCUGGAGAGCUGGAUUCAAAAUAUAAAUGUGCUCCAAUGGUGUGAAGUGACUAAAUGUCAAGCGCUAUGUUUGUGAUGGGGCUUUGUGCUCACAUGAGCAACGACAGAGCUGUGCUGUCAUAAACAAAACUAUGUGAAAGGUCAAGGGUUCAAAACCCUAAGAAUUUAAUGCAAAAGAAUAAUUCAGUGGAAACUGUUUAUUUAAAUGUGAAAAAAAUGGCCAAUAAGACAUCAUCAAACUGUUUACACAUUACUGUAAAAUGCAUGUUUUGGUUUUGGAAAAACAGGAGUCACAAAAAAUAAAAAGUAACGCGCCCUUUAAAUCACCAAAGUGUUACAUAUGAAGGACUUCAGUGAUGUGCUUCGUCUUUAUCUGACAGUUCAGAGUUUUAAACAGACAUUGACAAAAAAGUUGUUUUAUUCAGUUUUUAAGAUUAAAAAAAACAAACAAACUCCCUUUUAAAGCAUUAAGACGACACACAAUGAAUAAGGUAACAAUGAACGUAUUACAUGUGUGUGUUUUUAAAGCUGUAACACUCCUGAGCGAUAAUAACCUCAAAAUAAAGCAGCAGUAUUGCAGCAGAGAUCCAUCUCCAUGUUUGUUUUUUCAGUUAUGCUUAAAUGUUUCAAGGCUUUGAUAUUAACGGCAGAACAGAGUCAAAGUUUGCACUUUAGUGGCCCCACAUGGCAGAAAGGUGUCACUUUCUAGCAUUUUAA